GACGAACGCUGGCGGCGUGCUUAACACAUGCAAGUCGAACGAAGAGCGAUGGAAGCUUGCUUCUAUCAAUCUUAGUGGCGAACGGGUGAGUAACGCGUAAUCAACCUGCCCUUCAGAGGGGGACAACAGUUGGAAACGACUGCUAAUACCGCAUACGAUCUAAUCUCGGCAUCGAGGAAAGAUGAAAGGUGGCCUCUAUUUAUAAGCUAUCACUGAAGGAGGGGAUUGCGUCUGAUUAGCUAGUUGGAGGGGUAACGGCCCACCAAGGCGAUGAUCAGUAGCCGGUCUGAGAGGAUGGACGGCCACAUUGGGACUGAGACACGGCCCAGACUCCUACGGGAGGCAGCAGUGGGGAAUCUUCCGCAAUGGACGAAAGUCUGACGGAGCAACGCCGCGUGAGUGAUGACGGCCUUCGGGUUGUAAAGCUCUGUUAAUCGGGACGAAAGGCCUUCUUGCGAACAGUUUGAAGGAUUGACGGUACCGGAAUAGAAAGCCACGGCUAACUACGUG
rnacentral:rRNA from 1 species